rnacentral:rRNA from 1 species
GACGAACGCUGGCGGCGUGCCUAAUACAUGCAAGUAGAACGCUGAAGGAGGAGCUUGCUUCUCUGGAUGAGUUGCGAACGGGUGAGUAACGCGUAGGUAACCUGCCUGGUAGCGGGUGAUAACUAUUGGAAACGAUAGCUAAUACCGCAUAAUAGUAGAUGUUGCAUGACAUUUGCUUAAAAGGUGCAAUUGCAUCACUACCAGAUGGACCUGCGUUGUAUUAGCUAGUUGGUGGGGUAACGGCUCACCAAGGCGACGAUACAUAGCCGACCUGAGAGGGUGAUCGGCCACACUGGGACGGAGACACGGCCCAGACUCCUACGGGAGGCAGCAGUAGGGAAUCUUCGGCAAUGGACGGAAGUCUGACCGAGCAACGCCGCGUGAGUGAAGAAGGUUUUCGGAUCGUAAAGCUCUGUUGUAAGAGAAGAACGAGUGUGAGAGUGGAAAGUUCACACUGUGACGGUAUCUUACCAGAAAGGGGCGGCUAACUACGUG